GAUCAUGAGGUCCGAUAAAAAUACAAAACAUUUUAUAACCCUUGAACGAUGGCAAUUGAAAAGCAUUUAAGUAAACUUGAAUUGUGUAGUAAUCCAAGGAUAUUAUUUUUUUUCAUGUCAACCACCAUCAAAUAUAAAAAUCCGCUUUCCAGCUUUAAAAUUAUUACGCCUGAUUGUAUGCAGCUGCAGAAGGAAACCUAAUAGAAAAUAGCAAAAAUUUAUGUUUUUUUCGAAUAAAAAAUUCUACCUUACCAAUUGUUGGGUCUUUCCCAAAUUUUAAAGGAACCCCGCAUACUAAAAAACUAUAGCUUAAACAGUCUAUACGAAACAUCAACAGUUCUAGAAAUAGUGAUGGUCUCUGUGACAGUAGCUGAAAUAUUAAACUUUACUUCGACAACGUUAAAAACUAAGAAUGAACGUUCGUGUGGAUAAGUGAUGGUAUUUGGAAAGGUGAAUGAAUGCGUUCAUGUCUUCUGUCAAACCCACGUCAAAAAGGGCCGAAAUGCGAAUCAAAGAUGCCAGAUGAUUUUGCAAGAAAUCAGUACACAUUUAUUAAAUCUUAAAAAAAAAUUUAUAUAAAUUUAUAUAUAAUAUAUAAGUAAUUAAUUAGAAUAAUGUUAUUAAUUAGAAUAAAGUUAUUAGGUAAGAAUUAUAUUAAAAAUGAUUAUUCCUCUUUCCGUUCCUAAAAGUAGUUUGAAUGCUUACAGUUGAGUUGCCGCGACUAUUGAGCCCCCUAUAACCUUAACGGCCUUACUAACAUAUCAUGAUGAAAUGAAUACACGCGGCAAAAUAAAACUUACGAAACCUUUAAUAAUUAUAUAUACAGACCCCGUUCGUUUUUGGCAACAUUCGAUUUUGGCAACAUUCGAUUUUGGCAACAUCCGAUUUUGGCACAUGUGCCAAAAUCGAACGGUUUUUAGAAACAACAUUUCAAUUUAGUUUUCGUUAUAACAGGACGAAUUUAAAUCAGACAAAUACCACUAAUACAUUUUUGUGUUCUGAAAUGGUGAUAAAAUGCAAUGCAACAAUAAAAACAAAAGUUUUUAAAAAAAUUUAUUAAGUACUAAAAAAUGGCAAAAAGAUGAAAAAUUUAAAAAGUUAAAAAACAAAUUCAAACAAAUGACUGAAAAUGACCAAAAACAACUAAAAAAUGAUGAAGAACGAAAAAAAAACAGCAAAUAUGACAAAUGAAAACAAACAUUAUAAACAAAACAAGAUAAGUGCAAAAUGCAUCAAAAACAUACCUAAGGGUCCAGCAUCAAAAACAUGAUGAAAAAAAAUCAAAAAUCACCAGAAAUGGUCGGAAAUUGACUAAAAAUAAAGUUUUUGAUAAUAAUAUUAGUUAUUUUGUUAAAAUAACUGAUAAAAAAGUGGAGAAAAAAAACCGUUCGAUUUUGGCAACAUUCGAUUUUGGCAACACAAAAUGUACGAGCGUGUUGCUAAAAUCGAACGGGUCUGUAUAUGUUAAAAAAAAAGUAUUCGAUAACAAUCUGCAUUCAAAUUUAUGUGGGUAAAAUUGACCUAAGUUUAAAGUUUUUUCAAAACUCCUGCGAUUCUUUUGUUUUGUUUUUUUUUUUAUUAUUUUUGAUAUUUCUCGCGUGACGAGCAACCCCCAUGCUUAUUUUCCAAAUUGCUCAGAAAACAUCAAUAAGUUCUUUGAUCAAGAAUGAACCCGCAUGAAUCAGUAUCAUAAAAUGACCGUUCCUGUAAUCUUUUUCCCCAGACACCCGAAAGAUUACCCUAAUAGUAACCAGAUUAUUAAAGAAAGAUUAUAUGAAUCGUUUUCGGAAUCGUUUGGACACACUUUACGAUACAGAGAACGGGUUGUUAAGUAGAGUUACGAUUCAACAACGAUUCAAAAAACAUCGAACCGAUUGGAUCACACGUGUUAUCUUUUUUUAAUGAUCCACCCAUAAACCGAUGACUAUACGGUGUAUCUUUAAUUAUUCAUAAUACGAUUUAAAGAAAAAAAAAAAUAAAAUUCAUGUUACUACAGUUCGUUUAUCAAACAUUUUAUUAACACGCAUUUGAAUAAGUAUAAAUAACAUAAACACUGUUACACUACACCAAAAAUAUAAGAUUAAUUAGCGGUUCCACUGGACAGCUGUUUACAUUCCGGACCCGCUGAGAUGAAGGUGGAAGAGUUGGAAGAUGAUGACCACUAUGUAUUGCACCGUUUCCCUGCUCCCAUCAUCCAGCGUUAUAACUUCUGCCGUUUUCAUUUUCAGAACUCCCGCUGCGAUUUCUUUGUGCUCGUCCUAAUCUAAAGCUGCCUUACAGCACAGCUUACAGCUCCUGGAAGAAAAUAUUUCCCAAUAAGCGUGAAUCUUUUAGUCCCUAAUUUUGAGUAAGUUAAGUACUACUCACCAUCACAGAGCUGACGCCGUCGCUUAUCGUUCCGACUCUUCCACUUUUUUUCCAAACUUUGCCGGGAGAUUUUUUUCCGAUUCGCGCAACCACGUGUAUUGACGUGACAGCAAAGAAAUUGGGGUGUGUUGCAAAAAUAAUCAAUUUAUUUUUAAGACGAUUAAUUGUAUCUUUCGAGAAUAAUUCUUUGUCAUUUGGUUGCGUUGCAAAAAUAAUCAUUCUGUUAUCUGGAAUAUUAAACGUAUCUUUCGGAAAUAAUAUUUUAUCCGUUCUAGCAAAGACACAUCAAGCCAAGAUGCAAUAUGAAACGUUACUAUUACUGUAAUCAGAACGGAAUAAUCCGAACGAUUGAACGUAUCAUAUUUCACUAUGCGGGAAUUAUCUUAAGAUAUUACUGAUUUAAAUUUUGUCGUAAACUUUUUCCUAAUCCUUUUUUUUCGAAAAUUCAAAAAUCGGCGAACCUGGCACCCCUGAAAGUUUUCCGUCCAUCAUUUGUUUAGUUCGCGGUUUUCGCUGUUCUCGUCGGGGAUCUGGUAGUGAAAAACGGGAAAAAAAGCCUCGGGCGCCGUCUUGGUAGAACACCAAGGGGGAACGCCUACUUCCACCUUCUUUUCAACGCAAAAACGGCAUUGGGAACCGGAAGGCGACUGAAACAGCUGCAACGUCCACCCCAACUCUACCGAGUGCGGCAAUGAAGAUGUCCGGCAAAAUUUCAACAUCGCGACUGCCCCGGCAGUACCAGAAUUCACUGGAUGGCUGUUUGUUACAGGUUAUUGCUGCUUGCUUUUUCCGGAGGAUAAGAUUUUGGGCCGGACGAACCGGACGAGACACACCAAUCAAAUGUCCAGAAUUCCGGGGGUCUUUAUUGACCAGACUGUCCUUUGAAAUCAUCAAUUGCCGGAGAGAAGAUUAAAUGAAAUUUUCAUACCGAAAUUCGCAGUAAGAAUGGCGAAUACUGUCCCAUCUAACCAGGCAUGGCAGCUAGUGCAUCAAUCGCCAGAUUCAUCCGGAUCAUUAACAAAUGUAAGUUGACAUCAAUUUAAUAAAGAAACUAAAAUCCAAUUCCGAUAAUAAAUUAUUUCAAAAUCCGAAAUCCCAAUCAACAUUUUAAUGUGUGUGUGCCAUCCGCGUACCUACGAUUCCAAAAACCGUUUGCAUUACGUUGGAAGACCGUUUCGUAAAUCUUUGCAUAACUGUUACUGUUAACGUUCAGUUACAAGAGUACUUUUUAGAAUACUUUAACAAUAACAGUUUCAUGCUCUAAAUACGUUUCCGUAAGCGAUUUUUGGAUUUUAUCUUAACUGUUCGUAAAACAGUCGCCCCAUACAAUUGUUUUAACAGUUCUAAACAGUAACAUAACUUAACGCCAUAUUCAACAGACCGUCGUUUUGGAAUUCACAGUUAGUGGAAUGUUUUUUACGAUGUCAGAUACCGUUUUCUAAAAGUUUUUUUACGCUGUUCCAAAGAGUUUUAUAACUAUUAUAGUAACUGUUUGGUAACAGUAUUUUUUUAUUCGGGACGUUAAUUGACUACUCUUUUAACAAACUGCAAUUGAAAAUGAGCAUUUGGCUCGAGUUUUCAUUCAAAAAUAUGUGAAAUACUCAGAAUAGUUUUUGGAGUAGUAAAAAAUUGACCUUUUUUGAUGUCGAUUUGCGAUGCUUCACGGUACAUACAGAUUUUCUCCUAUAACUCACAAUAAUCUCGGAACCUUCUACUUCAAAUCUGUAUCCGUCAUUUUCUGAAAAUCCUAACCAAAUCAAAGAAAAUAAUGAUUUAUUAGAAGCUAGUAUUUCCACCCGUUUGUUUACAUUUUCUUGCACACACACGAGCUGUCAAAAAUUAGCUUCGAAAUCGCGAAUUACCCGUAUCUUUGGAAAAUAAUUCUUAAUCAUUUCAAGCGAAGACGCACGAAAAAUUUAAAAUUUAUUAAAAAUUAGAAGAUUACAGAACGAUUACUCUUAUAGUCACUAUUCGUGUAAUCAGAUCAGAAUAAUUUUAAAGAUUACGUGUAUGAUAUUUGAUUAUGCGGGUAUUUGUAUGAAAGCAUCUGUAAUAAAAUAAUUUAGUUCCCUGAAUCUUUUCUAAUAUUAUUUUAAGUUAAGAAAUUCAAUACCCCAGUACGGGUUACAAUGGUUCCAUUGUUAACUGACGAUAAUUUAUAUCGUCCUCAUUUGAUAGGGGAAUCAUAAAGUAACGAUACGUGUUAUCAUGAAAUACGUUUUGAAACAGUAAAAAAAGGCAAAAAAAUUGAAUGGUUACUCUACUUAACGACCCGUUCACUGUAUCGUAAAGUGCGUCCAAACGAUUCCAUUUCAUGAAAAAAUGAUAAGCCUUAUCUUACAUUAAUAAUCCAA